CGUAAUGUCAACCAUUGAAUUAACGCGGUUACGAGAACCACACAGGAUUGGCUGGCGUAAAUGCGAGCCCCCCGGCUCGGCCAAUGGACAUCGACUUUAACUUGUUAUGAAGCGAGUAAAAUGCCAACAGGCGACCUUGGAGAUAUGGCACCGCAGUUGUAGCAGAAGCCGCCGCUUAGCAGCUGAUUCUGCAAUCCUGCUCUCUUUCAAGUUCUGUUGCCCCGAUCAAAAAUGUCUGCUGUGCGACUUCUCCGCUCUGUUCAGGGCAUUCCUGGCCUGACCUUCAGCAGAAGCUACAGUGCUGCAGCACCAACUACCAAGCUUUUCAUCAAUGGAAAGUUUGUGGAGAGCAAAGCCAAAGAGUUUAUUGAUGUCCACAACCCAGCAAACAAA